rnacentral:rRNA from 1 species
AGCGAACGCUGGCGGCAGGCCUAACACAUGCAAGUCGAACGGACCCUUCGGGGUUAGUGGCGGACGGGUGAGUAACACGUGGGAACGUGCCUUUAGGUUCGGAAUAGCUCCUGGAAACGGGUGGUAAUGCCGAAUGUGCCCUUCGGGGGAAAGAUUUAUCGCCUUUAGAGCGGCCCGCGUCUGAUUAGCUAGUUGGUGAGGUAACGGCUCACCAAGGCGACGAUCAGUAGCUGGUCUGAGAGGAUGACCAGCCACACUGGGACUGAGGCACGGCCCAGACUCCUACGGGAGGCAGCAGUGGGGAAUCUUGCGCAAUGGGCGAAAGCCUGACGCAGCCAUGCCGCGUGAAUGGUGAAGGUCUUAGGAUUGUAAAAUUCUUUCACCGGGGACGAUAAUGACGGUACCCGGAGAAGAAGCCCCGGCUAACUUCGUG